GGCCGCUUGGCGUAGUGGUAUCGCGCUUGCUUUGGGUUAUCUGGCUUCAGAUGUGUACGAAUGCAAGAGGUCACGAGUUCGAUCCUCGUAGCGGCCC
rnacentral:tRNA from 2 species